UAGGGAAUCUUCCACAAUGGGCGAAAGCCUGAUGGAGCAACGCCGCGUGUGUGAUGAAGGGUCUCGGCUCGUAAAACACUGUUGUAAGAGAAGAAUGACAUUGAGAGUAACUGUUCAAUGUGUGACGGUAUCUUACCAGAAAGGAACGGCUAAAUACGUGCCAGCAG
rnacentral:rRNA from 1 species